UGGGGAAUAUUGCACAAUGGGCGAAAGCCUGAUGCAGCGACGCCGCGUGAGCGAAGAAGUAUUUCGGUAUGUAAAGCUCUAUCAGCAGGGAAGAAAAUGACGGUACCUGACUAAGAAGCCCCGGCUAACUACGUGCCAGCAGCCGCGGUAAUACGUAGGGGGCAAGCGUUAUCCGGAUUUACUGGGUGUAAAGGGAGCGUAGGCGGCAAGGCAAGUCUGAUGUGAAAACCCGGGGCUCAACCCCGGGACUGCAUUGGAAACUGCUUAGCUAGAGUGUCGGAGAGGUAAGUGGAAUUCCUAGUGUAGCGGUGAAAUGCGUAGAUAUUAGGAGGAACACCAGUGGCGAAGGC
rnacentral:rRNA from 1 species